CUGACCUGUGCAAGUGGAAGUUAAUGGACCCCAGUCUGACAGAAAAAAGAAAGAAAAUGGCACUGCACUUUCACCUUAGGCUUCCCACAUUUAUCUGAUUACAUUAAUAAGAUGUGAACCUCAGCUGUUCUAUUCUACAGAGGAAAAACCAUGUUAACCAUUGGUAUGAAAGGCUGAAAACCUGAUUUGAAGUUCUUGACUAAAACUAAAAUUCAGCAAAAAUAUUAAUAAACACACUUCCUGCGUCACCGUUUCUCCAACCACUGCGUUUAAAGAAUGAGUUUGGAAAUCUUAGGUCCACAACUGACAACUUGACUUUGAUACUUCACAAUGGACAUUGUUGAGAAUCUUGUUUGAUAACAGCUAGACAUAGGAGUUUCUUGGUUAAAGGAACAUAAGUGUGUACUUACAUUUCUCACUGUUGUCACAAAACCCAUGGCCAAACCAGUUGAAAGAGAUUCAUUUGGAUCACAAUAUACUGAUAGUAUAAAAUGAAACCAGCGAGUGAUGAGUGAUGCAGAAGCUAAUCACUGACAAAA